rnacentral:sRNA from 1 species
AGGACCAACCUGGGCAGCAGAACCAAAGGGACUGAGGAAACAGACAGUGCUGGUACAAGUAUGCAAGUUUUCUGUAAACAGGAUACUUUCAAACAGUUGGGAGCCCCAGGGAGAUAAUAGAAGGUAUCCUACUCAACAGCAGUAUAGAAUGCUGUAGAAGAGGAAUAUUGUAAGAACAAGAACUAUCUCUUGAAAACUAAAAAUAUGAUAACUGAAAUAUAAAUUUAAAUAGGAUUGGAAGCUAAAGCUAGGAAAUUACCCUAGAACGUUUUUUGAGAAAUGGAAAAUAGGAAGACCAAAAAAAUAAAAUAAAACUAUGCUGUGAAAGAGAAAGAUUAGCAUUUGAGAAGGCGGAAGUUGGUCCUGCUCAGAUGCCUUGUUCUAAAAAUAGUGAUAGAAAACAAAUUUCUACAAAGCAGAAUUACAAAAAAUUUAUUAAACUCUUGCAACAAAGCUGUUUUCUUAUGUCUUCCUGUGUUUUCCUGCUGUCAUAUCAUUCAAUGUGAUGCUUAAGUUCUUCCUCCUUAAAAAUGUAAUAUAUUAUUUUUCCCUUUGCACAGGUAAUUUAGAGUUUUGAUUUAUUUGAUCAUCAUGAUAGCUAUUCCUGAUAGCUGUCCUGUUACUUAGACAUAAAAAUAGUGAGUAAGCCCAAUUACGUAUUUGUAGGGUUGUUGAACAAAGAAAUCACUUAUUUAAUUUUUCUACUUUUUAAAAUGGGAACGCAGAAUAAUAUUGAAAUUUGUUCUAAACCAAAAACCUACCUGUUUUACCAGUUAUUGCAGAAUCUUGCCGUUGAGAUUAGCAAGCAGUCUGUCGUAAUGGCUUAUUCUGUGCAAACUCUUUCCUCAAGAUUGUUGAAAGAUGGCUUUUAAUUUUAACCGUUGUUGUUUUGCAGACAAAGCUCUGAUGGCACCAAAUCUUGAUUCCUUUGGACGUGAUCGGGCACUGUAUCAAGAGCAUGCAAAACGUCGCAUUGCAGAGCGGGAGGCCAGGAGGACUCGUCGUAGACAAGCCAGAGAACAAACCGGUAAGAUGGCAGAUCACCUUGAAGGCCUUUCCAGUGAUGAUGAAGAAACUUCUACAGAUAUUACUAAUUUCAAUCUGGAAAAAGAUCGAAUUUCAAAAGAAUCCAGCAAAGUUUUUGAAGAUGUCCUUGAAAGUUUCUAUUCAAUUGACUGUAUUAAAUCACAGUUUGAAGCAUGGCGUUCAAAAUACUACACAUCCUACAAAGAUGCUUACAUUGGCCUUUGUUUGCCAAAAUUAUUCAACCCGCUCAUACGACUUCAGCUCCUCACUUGGACUCCUCUUGAGGCAAAAUGUCGUGACUUUGAGAAUAUGCUGUGGUUUGAAUCUUUGCUGUUUUAUGGUUGUGAAGAACGAGAGCAAGAAAAAGAUGAUGUAGAUGUUGCCCUACUACCUACCAUUGUGGAAAAGGUGAUUCUUCCUAAACUAACAGUGAUAGCUGAAAAUAUGUGGGACCCUUUUUCUACAACACAGACUUCAAGAAUGGUGGGAAUUACACUAAAAUUAAUCAAUGGAUAUCCUUCAGUAGUGAAUGCAGAAAAUAAAAAUACACAGGUAUACCUAAAGGCACUUUUAUUGAGAAUGAGAAGAACUUUAGAUGAUGAUGUAUUUAUGCCCUUAUAUCCCAAAAAUGUCUUAGAAAAUAAAAAUUCUGGGCCUUACUUGUUUUUUCAACGACAGUUUUGGUCUUCAGUUAAGCUGUUAGGCAAUUUUCUUCAGUGGUAUGGCAUUUUCUCAAAUAAAACUCUGCAAGAGUUAUCAAUAGAUGGUUUAUUAAAUCGAUAUAUUCUCAUGGCUUUUCAGAAUUCAGAAUAUGGAGAUGACAGCAUCAAAAAAGCCCAAAAUGUAAUCAAUUGUUUCCCCAAACAAUGGUUCAUGAAUCUGAAAGGAGAACGGACUAUUUCUCAGUUAGAAAACUUUUGCCGAUACCUUGUACACUUAGCAGAUACAAUUUAUAGAAAUAGUAUUGGGUGCUCUGAUGUGGAAAAAAGAAAUGCAAGGGAAAACAUAAAACAGAUAGUAAAACUCCUUGCAAGUGUUCGAGCUUUGGAUCAUGCUAUGUCUGUUGCAAGUGACCACAAUGUGAAAGAAUUUAAGUCUUUGAUCGAAGGAAAAUAGAUCUAUGAGACUGAAAAACCUAUUUGCUUGAUUACCAUUCCCAAUGUGUAAAUUUUGUAUAUAUGUAAAGUUUCUUAAACUGUAAAAUAGCAAUUCUUGUUUUAAUACAAAAAACAUUAUAUUC